AAUAGAUACCCCGGUAGUCCACGCCGUAAACGAUGUCGACUUGGAGGUUGUGCCCUUGAGGCGUGGCUUCCGGAGCUAACGCGUUAAGUCGACCGCCUGGGGAGUACGGCCGCAAGGUUAAAACUCAAAUGAAUUGACGGGGGCCCGCACAAGCGGUGGAGCAUGUGGUUUAAUUCGAUGCAACGCGAAGAACCUUACCUACUCUUGACAUCCAGAGAACUUGGCAGAGAUGCUUUGGUGCCUUCGGGAACUCUGAGACAGGUGCUGCAUGGCUGUCGUCAGCUCGUGUUGUGAAAUGUUGGGUUAAGUCCCGCAACGAGCGCAACCCUUAUCCUUUGUUGCCAGCGGUUUAGGCCGGGAACUCAAAGGAGACUGCCAGUGAUAAACUGGAGGAAGGUGGGGAUGACGUCAAGUCAUCAUGGCCCUUACGAGUAGGGCUACACACGUGCUACAAUGGCGCAUACAAAGAGAAGCGACCUCGCGAGAGCAAGCGGACCUCAUAAAGUGCGUCGUAGUCCGGAUUGGAGU
rnacentral:rRNA from 1 species